rnacentral:rRNA from 1 species
GACGAACGCUGGCGGCGCGCCUAAUGAAUGCGAGUCGAACGAGAAGCAGACAGUUGAUCUCUUCGGAGUGAUUCAGUCUGUGGAAAGUGGCGAACGGGUGAGUAACACGUGGGUAACCUACCUCCGAGACGGGGACAACACAGGGAAACUUGUGCUAAUACCCGAUGGUCUACCGGUGCAUAUGUACCGGAUAGUAAAUGGUCAGCCGCUCGGAGAUGGGCCCGCGGCCCAUUAGCUAGUUGGUGAGGUAACGGCUCACCAAGGCGACGAUGGGUAGCCGGUCUGAGAGGAUGGUCGGCCACACUGGGACUGAGACAUGGUCCAGACUCCUACGGGAGUUAGCAUCAGGGAAUCUUGCUCAAUGAGCGCAAGCUUGAAGCAGCGACGCCGCGUGUGGGAUGAAGGCCUUCGGGUCGUAAACCACUGUCAGGAGGGACGAAGAUCUGACGGUACCUCCAGAGGAAGCCCCGGCUAACUACGUGCCAGCAGCCG